rnacentral:rRNA from 1 species
CUAAUACAUGCAAGUCGAACGGGAAGCCUCGGACUUGUCUGGGGUGGAGAGUGGCGAACGGGUGAGUAACACGUAGGUGACCUGCCUCGAAGAUGGGGAUAACUGUUGGAAACGGCAGCUAAUACCCAAUGCACUCGGUAAUUCGGUUUAUCGAGUAAAGCGCCCCUCACGGGGAUAGCGCUUCGAGAUGGGCCUGCGGCCUAUCAGCUAGUUGGUAGGGUAAUGGCCUACCAAGGCGAGGACGGGUAGGGGGCGUGAGAGCGUGACCCCCCACACUGGCACUGAGACACGGGCCAGACUCCUACGGGAGGCAGCAGUCGGGGAUAUUGCGCAAUGGACGAAAGUCUGACGCAGCGACGCCGCGUGAGUGAUGAAGGCCUUCGGGUUGUAAAACUCUUUUAUGGGGGAAGAGGAAGGACGGUACCCCAUGAAUAAGCGUCGGCUAACUACGUGCCAGCAGCCGCGGUAAAACGUAGGACGCAAGCGUUAUCCGGAUUUACUGGGCGUAAAGAGCGUUGAGGCGGUUCUGUAAGUUGGGCGUGAAAGCCCUCGGCUUAACUGAGGGACGCCGUCCAAUACUGCAGGACUUGAGGGCAGCAGAGGGAGGUGGAAUUCCCGGUGUAGCGGUGAAAUGCGUAGAGAUCGGGAGGAACACCAGUGGCGAAGGCGGCCUCCUGGGCUGCUUCUGACGCUGAAUGCGAAAGCUAGGGUAGCGAACGGGAUUAGAAACCCCGGUAGUCCUAGCUGUAAACGAUGGAUGCUAGGUGUAGGAGGUAUAGAUCCCUUCUGUGCCGAAGCUAACGCGAUAAGCAUCCCGCCUGGGGACUACGGCCGCAAGGCUAAAACUCAAACGAAUUGACGGGGGCCCGCACAAGCAGCGGAGCGUGUGGUUUAAUUCGAUGCUACUCGAAGAACCUUACCUGGGUUUGACAUGUAGGUAGUAGUGAAGCGAAAGCGGAACGACCCUUCGGGGAGCCUACACAGGUGCUGCAUGGCUGUCGUCAGCUCGUGCCG